GUCGAGUCUCUCCAUCUCCAGUCUCCACCGACGUGCCCUCGAAGACAUCGUCGUCUCCGCCGCCUCCGCGCCUCGCGGCGGCGCUGCGAAUGCUCCUCAGGCGCAGAAGCAUAGCGGCGGUUGCUCCGCGCCACCGCGAGCCUCGUUGAGCUGACGUAGCCGUCGCUGUUGCCGGGGAGCCCGAUCCGAGCCGACCACCCGCGACGAUUGCGGGUAGACGGUUGUGCUUGAGACUACGCUUGUUUUGUAUUGGAGUUGGAGCCUUUCCGAAUAUGAUUGGGAGUAUUUUCCUGCUUCCGUAAGCGGCCUGACUCUGCCAAAUUUGCAGGCUCAACAGGUAUUCUGAACGUUUCACCAUCAAAUAUAUCAGGCUACACAAGUGGGCUUACUGUCCAUAUUGUUCUGGGGUGUAUGGGGUUUGCAACGUGAUGUGCUAUUCUGUUCUAUUAUGACUCAAGUUUGUAGUGUAUCCAAGACACUACUAGUGUUGUUUAAGCAUACCAUACCAUACCAAGAUUCUCCGUAGAGUAUUUGGACAACUGAUUGUGAAUUUAUUCAAGUAAUAUUGAUGUGAAUACUUAGUGGAUUCUAA